UGCCAGCCGCCGCGGUAAUACGGAGGGUGCAAGCGUUAAUCGGAAUUACUGGGCGUAAAGCGCGCGUAGGUUGAUUGGUCAGUCAGAUGUGAAAGCCCCGGGCUCAACCUGGGAACUGCACCUGAUACUGCCAGUCUAGAAUACGGUAGAGGGUAGUGGAAUUUCCUGUGUAGCGGUGAAAUGCGUAGAUAUAGGAAGGAACACCAGUGGCGAAGGCGACUACCUGGGCCGAUAUUGACGCUGAGCCGCAAAGGCGUGUGUAGCGAACGGGGUUAGAUA
rnacentral:rRNA from 1 species